rnacentral:other from 1 species
CGCCUUCUGCGGUGCCCGUGAGCGGGCCUGAGUCUCUUGAACCGAUAUUGUGGGCGCUUUCGGGGCAGGCUCUUGGAGCCGUUGUGCAAGCCUGCCUUCGGGCGGGACGCCUGAGGCUUCGAACCCGGCCCCAGUCUGAACCGUUGGGUUCAAGCGCGACGAACCCGCCACGGCACCGGCGGAAGGCGC